UCCCUCAGUACCGCAAGCCGAAGUGAAAAGUAAAGCAACAAUAGUACUCUCGUCUACUGUUAUACUCUAACGUAACCAUGUUUGCAGGUAUUUGAGGCUCUGUCUACUUUGCUUGACAUUUACUAAUGUUUUGCUACUAUUUUAGGGACGCCGCCUACGAGAUCUAUGACUUCGAGUCUAUAUGAAUUUGCUGAUUCGCUGAUAUUCGCAGACGAGAUCUAUGACGUCUAGUCUGUAUCAACCAUUUAUUGCAGAUCGUAAUCACGCAAAUUGUCGACGAUGCUGGUGAGGCAGAUACCUUGAGCGUAUUAGUGUGCUGACUAUUACCCGAUAAGCCAAAUACACUCGGGCUUCGUGGAGCGCAACUCCGGAGUAUCUUCUAGAGCGCCCUUGCCCCUUCCUUGCUGUCGUUACCCAUAACUGUUAGCUGGAGACAUUUUUAUAUCGGUAUCGUAUGACAAACUAGUGUCAAAGUGUUUCCUGCACCCCUUACCGUGGAGAUGUGCGCCAGUGAAGUGCGACGAGAAGGUUAGAGCGGGGGAAGAUUAUGCUUUCUCCCUCAGUACCGCAAGCCGAAGUGAAAAGUAAAGCAACAAUAGUACUCUCGUCUACUGUUAUACUCUAACGUAACCAUGUUUGCAGGUAUUUGAGGCUCUGUCUACUUUGCUUGACAUUUACUAAUGUUUUGCUACUAUUUUAGGGACGCCGCCUACGAGAUCUAUGACUUCGAGUCUAUAUGAAUUUGCUGAUUCGCUGAUAUUCGCAGACGAGAUCUAUGACGUCUAGUCUGUAUCAACCAUUUAUUGCAGAUCGUAAUCACGCAAAUUGUCGACGAUGCUGGUGAGGCAGAUGAAGUCCAGCAUUCUACAACAAUAACAAAAAGUUUGCAACUUAAUUAUUGUAAGUCUUUGACAGUGGCAAAGACCAGUCCCCAGAGACAAAGACCCCUGGCAAAGACCAACUCGGAGGGGUUAGUAGAUUUAGCAAUGCAGCUUUGCUAAAAAAGCGUGCAAUAUUGAUGAUCCUGAUACUGAUCCUAUCGCGUCAAAAACGCGAAAAACAAACAAUAGAAAAAUAGCAAAAGGAACAGAAAGGAAAAACGACCAAUAGUUGCAUUGUUCGAUAGCAAUUUGAUGUAAAGUAGAUGGACAAGAAGAACUACAUAGUCAAAUCACGCCAACAAUAGGCUUAGUGCACACCAUAAAGUAAAUAUCUGUUAUAGAAGUAAGAUUCGGUACUACAGCGUAGGCUGUUCAACCAAU